UGUCUCAACAAAUUCGACAAAAAAUCAACGCGUAAUUCAGAACUCAAACGAAUAUCAAUCAGGCCUAUUUCCCCCAUGAAAAUACGCGAUUUUUGCCAUUGUAUUGUAUGAAAGGUUUCGUGUUUUGAUGCAAGGCAUAUCCGGUGUUGUUGAUUUUCUAAUGCUUAAUUUAGUGAAAAAUCUUGUUUCCAGGGCGCAACAUCAAAAAUUCUACCGAUCAUGACUAUCAUUGCAGCACAGCUUACAGAUUGUCAAGACAUUUUUGACCUUGUGAAUGAGGCGUAUGAAGUCGAAAUCGGGGAUGACGGUUUGGCGUUCAAGAAUUGUGCUCGAUUUUCGGCCCUGAAUGAAGUGGAAGAAUGUCUGGACAACACUUGGAUCAUUCGUGAUGAGAACGGAAUCCUGGUUGGAACAGUUCGAGCAGUCUCCAAGGAAGAGGGGGUCAUUCAUGUUGGCCCGUUGGCAGUUCGGAAAAGUCAUCAGUGGUUGUGAUGGAUAGCACCAAGGAUUUGGAACCAAGUUAGUAGCUUUUUGUGAGACUCUGGGCCCCAUAAUAUCAGCUUGGGUAGCUUCCUGCCGAACUGAUCUAAUCCCGUGGUACUCCAAGAUGGGAUAUGAGGAAAUUCGACGCUUUCCUCAGUCAAAAACACCCAAGAUCACAAGAAAUGAUAUUGAGAUUAUUGUCAUGCAAAAGAAAACGAACUUCGAGUCGAAGUCCUAAAUAGAGCACAUGACCAUUGUUCAGCCACAUUUUUUAUGCUGUAUAUUUCUUGUUAAUGGACAUGCCUAUCCCUCCAAAACUCAUUCAAAAUGCAUCACCACAUCCUACCGGGCGACAGAAAUGUCUCCGGACACUUUCUCAAAAUCGUUGUUAUUGAGACCAAAUAUAAAUUUGGCACCAGAAAA